UCCAGGCAAAUCCGGAUAAUCAAGGCUGAGGUGUGAUGACGAGGCACUACGGUGCUGAAGUAACAAAUGCCCUGCUUCCAGGAAAAGCCUCUAAGCAUCAGGUAACAUUAAAUCGUACCCCAAACCGACACAGGUGGUCAGGUAGAGAAUACCAAGGCGCUUGAGAGAACUCGGGUGAAGGAACUAGGCAAAAUGGUGCCGUAACUUCGGGAGAAGGCACGCUGGUGUGUAGGUGAAGCCCCUGCGGGUGGAGCUGAGACCAGUCGAAGAUACCAGCUGGCUGCAACUGUUUAUUAAAAACACAGCACUGUGCAAACACGAAAGUGGACGUAUACGGUGUGACGCCUGCCCGGUGCCGGAAGGUUAAUUGAUGGGGUUAUCCGUAAGGAGAAGCUCUUGAUCGAAGCCCCGGUAAACGGCGGCCGUAACUAUAACGGUCCUAAGGUAGCGAAAUUCCUUGUCGGGUAAGUUCCGACCUGCACGAAUGGCGUAAUGAUGGCCAGGCUGUCUCCACCCGAGACUCAGUGAAAUUGAACUCGCUGUGAAGAUGCAGUGUACCCGCGGCAAGACGGAAAGACCCCGUGAACCUUUACUAUAGCUUGACACUGAACAUUGAGCCUUGAUGUGUAGGAUAGGUGGGAGGCUUUGAAGCGUGGACGCCAGUCUGCGUGGAGCCAACCUUGAAAUACCACCCUUUAAUGUUUGAUGUUCUAACGUUGGCCCCUUACCGGGGUUGCGGACAGUGUCUGGUGGGUAGUUUGACUGGGGCGGUCUCCUCCCAAAGCGUAACGGAGGAGCACGAAGGUUAGCUAAUCCUGGUCGGACAUCAGGAGGUUAGUGCAAUGGCAUAAGCUAGCUUGACUGCGAGCGUGACGGCGCGAGCAGGUGCGAAAGCAGGUCAUAGUGAUCCGGUGGUUCUGAAUGGAAGGGCCAUCGCUCAACGGAUAAAAGGUACUCCGGGGAUAACAGGCUGAUACCGCCCAAGAGUUCAUAUCGACGGCGGUGUUUGGCACCUCGAUGUCGGCUCAUCACAUCCUGGGGCUGAAGUAGGUCCCAAGGGUAUGGCUGUUCGCCAUUUAAAGUGGUACGCGAGCUGGGUUUAGAACGUCGUGAGACAGUUCGGUCCCUAUCUGCCGUGGGCGCUGGAGAAUUGAGGGGGGCUGCUCCUAGUACGAGAGGACCGGAGUGGACGCAUCACUGGUGUUCGGGUUGUCAUGCCAAUGGCACUGCCCGGUAGCUAAAUGCGGAAGAGAUAAGUGCUGAAAGCAUCUAAGCACGAAACUUGCCCCGAGAUGAGUUCUCCCUGAGACUUUAAGUCUCCUGAAGGAACGUUAAAGACGAUGACGUUGAUAGGCCGGGUGUGUAAGCGCAGCGAUGCGUUGAGCUAACCGGUACUAAUGAACCGUGAGGCUUAACCUU
rnacentral:rRNA from 1 species